rnacentral:rRNA from 1 species
GGAGGAAAAGAAACCACCAGGGAUUGCCUCAGUAGCGGCGAGUGAAGCGGCAAAAGCUCAAAUUUGAAAUCUGGCGUCUUUGGCGUCCGAGUUGUAAUUUGAAGAAGGUAUCUUUGGGCCCGGCUCUUGUCUAUGUUCCUUGGAACAGGACGUCACAGAGGGUGAGAAUCCCGUGCGAUGAGAUGACCCGGGUCUGUGUAAAGUUCCUUCGACGAGUCGAGUUGUUUGGGAAUGCAGCUCUAAGUGGGUGGUAAAUUCCAUCUAAAGCUAAAUAUUGGCGAGAGACCGAUAGCGAACAAGUACAGUGAUGGAAAGAUGAAAAGAACUUUGAAAAGAGAGUGAAAAAGUACGUGAAAUUGUUGAAAGGGAAGGGCUUGAGAUCAGACUUGGUAUUUUGCAUGUUGCUCUCUCGGGGGCGGCCGCUGCGGUUUACCGGGCCAGCAUCGGUUUGGAGCGGCAGGAUAAUGGCGGAGGAAUGUGGCACGGCUUCUGCUGUGUGUUAUAGCCUCUGACGAUACUGCCAGCCUAGACCGAGGACUGCGGUUUUUACCUAGGAUGUUGGCAUAAUGAUCUUAAGUCGCCCGUCUU